AGGAUCCCCAAGAUCACAUCUGAUGGACGUUCCUUACUCAAGAAGAGGAGGAACCCGUCCUCCUCUGGGGACCUGGACUGAGGCUCUUCCCUCCCAGCACGGCUGUCCGAUCUCAGACGAUGGCACUUAAAGGCCAAUGGCCACAAGCUCUCGGUAGCGCUGGUGCUACCGGAGCACUGAUUAUAGUUCCCUUGCAACCCUCGUUUCAAGCCAUUUAUUGCUACAUGAGGAAAGUCGUAUUGAAGUGUCUUGUGAUCUCAGGCAUCAGAUGUAUUUUGGAGACAAAGUUUGAUGAAAUUCAAUUUCUCUGUUGGUUUUCCUCUCCCAGCUUCUGCCCGGAUACAGCUGAGCGCAAAAAACCCCUCAGCUGAGAAGUUUUUAUAGUCGUACCAAGAUCUCUAAAACAGUUUCUCCUAAAAUAUUCAGGCUUAGUCACCAGUGUGAAGGAGUAGUGAACUUUUGACGAUUUGGGAGCUGCGCGCCGACACAAACACGCAAAACUCCUCCAGCAUCGCACCUGGGACCUGAAGCCGCUGUCAGCGCAGGGGUGAAAACGAGAACAAAAUUAGCUCCUGGGAGGCCCAGCCGAGCUCCAGAGCAAGCCGGGCUGUCUGCCCGGAGAGCUGCCGUGUCCCGAGGUAGUUUCCUGACGCCGAUGUUCGUCCUGCCGUUGCCUUCUGCCUUAGAUGACACCUGUGGAACCCUUCCCCCUCUGAUGCCAAUCUGCCGUACUAAUUAGACCCGCAGAUGGUUUGUUUCUGCCUGCCUCAUCUUCUGCAAAGAGAUGGACUGAGCCCUCAGUGAGCUUUUGCAAAUCAUCGCCAGGGAGUUUGAACACAUCUACCUCAGUGGAGUUACAUAAAUAUUACAAACGUGUGUAUAGCUGUACAUUAAAUGGCAUUCUGCUCUGCAGGAAAGCACACCAAAGAUAAAGAAGCAGAGAAGAACAUGAAUUCUUUUGUUGGUGGUCAGGAAGAGGUCGUUAGUGCUGCCCAGCUGCUUUGCUGCCCAAAUCACACACCUGAUGCCACUUUGCAGGACUUGGGGGUCUGAAUCAUUUCUAGUCCUGCUUUGCUCCAGCUCGCUGCUUUGUUCUGCACUUGCUUGUCCCAGGGCAGCCUGGCAGGUCCAUGAGCUCGGCAUCACUGAGAGGCUUCGCUUCGCUUCCCCCGUGGAUGGAGGUUCGCUGGUACGGGUGAAGGCUCGGAGCUGUCAUCCAGAGCCAGGACGGCACCUGGACAGCAUGUGUUGGCAACCUCUUCCCACCUGGACUCCAGACUGAGCAGGGAAGGGGAUGAGAUCUGCUCCUUUCAAAGCUACUGCCCCACAUAAGGGAAACACAGACAAGUCAGCAGAAAUGGAGGUCACCAAAGGUUUUAAACCUCAAGGUAGGCAUAACCCACACACCUGUGGCUUCUUGGUUGAGCCAUGGUCCUGGCUGCGCUCGUGCCAAAGUCCACACUGCUCUAGCUGAACUAGCGGCAGCAAGUUUAUGCCUGUGUCAGCUGCAGCUAUUUGGCCAAAAGCUCUCCAAAUGAGCUUGUUUCUUUGCAGCCACAUGUUUGGCUUGUAAAGGUGGCCUAUUUUUAGAAGGAGCAUAAGCACAGCAAAGGGAGAGCAACCUGCUACCUGGCCCAGGGCACCAGCGAAAAAGGUUUUUGCAGUCGCUGUGUUACACAGAGCAACUGCUUCGUUCAUUGCCCGCUCCUACCAACAAACAGGUUUGCAGUCAGGCCUUUCAGACAAUCUUCCUUUAAUACAAAGUCAAUAUAUCUACAUACACAGUGGUAUGAAAACCACUUACUGUUUCAGUUUGAAAUAACAGUGUGAAAGCAACAGCACUUUGCUCUCAUACAAAGAAAAAAACCUCCCCCCUCCCCCCCAACUUGUCCAGUAAGAUUUUGCUGCAACAUACUUAGAAAUUUGGGCAACUUUCACACAAAUAAGAAGUAAAAUCUUGAAGAAGCCUUUUGUUUCUUUGUUGGGUUUUUUUUUUUCAGUUAAAGACAGGAAAUAGAUUGUUGUGGGGUCUUCUGGGUAGCACUUGAUGGCCAUGAUUACCCCUUCUAGAAAAAUAAAAAAAGGAAAAGUCACAGGCAAGCAGUGUUCAGGGCAGUGCAUCUUUUCCAAGACAUGCUGUCCUCUGUGCACUUCUGCAAGAAAACUCCUUGUCACGUACACUUGCAAGAGCGUUAUAUCUACAACCCAGCAGACGGACAGACUUGGGCCGUUACCUACAAUACACCUUUGAUGUUAGAAAACCUGUGCGUGCACUGAUGUGUGUCAUGGCUCCAAAAUCCGCUGUCUUUCUGUCUUCAGUCAUCGUAAGACACUGGUAUUGUUUAAUCUCCCAGUUCACCUGUGGCCCUGUUAAGACUGGGCAACAUGGCCACAGCUGAAGGGGAGUGGGUUGGCACUGCCAGCGUGUCUAGGCCUGCCUGCUAAUCUCACACCCUUCCAGAGACAUGUGAUAUGUCUGCGAUUUAAAACAAAAGAACCCAAAAAAAAAAAUCCAGAAAGGACAUUUUGUUCUUA